rnacentral:rRNA from 1 species
CGGGUGAGUAACGCGUAGGCAACCUGCCCUCAGCACAGGGAUAGCCUCGGGAAACCGGGAUUAAAACCUGAUGAUGCGGAGAAGUCACAUGGCUUUUCCGUCAAAGAUUUAUCGGCUGAGGAUGGGCCUGCGUCUGAUUAGUUAGUUGGUGGGGUAACGGCCUACCAAGACGACGAUCAGUAGCCGACCUGAGAGGGUGAUCGGCCACAUUGGAACUGAGACACGGUCCAAACUCCUACGGGAGGCAGCAGUGGGGAAUAUUGCACAAUGGGCGAAAGCCUGAUGCAGCAACGCCGCGUGAGCGAUGAAGGCCUUUGGGUCGUAAAGCUCUGUCCUCGGGGAAGAAAAAAAUGACGGUACCCAAGGAGGAAGCCCCGGCUAACUACGUGCCAGCAGCCGCGGUAAUACGUAGGGGGCAAGCGUUAUCCGGAAUUAUUGGGCGUAAAGAGUACGUAGGUGGUUCUUUAAGCGCAGGGUUUAAGGCAAUGGCUCAACCAUUGUUCGCCCUGUGAACUGGAGGACUUGAGUGCAGGAGAGGAAAGCGGAAUUCCUAGUGUAGCGGUGAAAUGCGUAGAUAUUAGGAGGAACACCAGUGGCGAAGGCGGCUUUCUGGACUGUAACUGACACUGAGGUACGAAAACGUGGGGAGCAAACAGGAUUAGAUACCCUGGUAGUCCACGCCGUAAACGAUGAGCACUAGGUGUCGGGGUCGCCAAGAACUUCGGUGCCGCCAGUUAACGCCAUUAA